rnacentral:rRNA from 1 species
UACGUAGGGUGCAAGCGUUGUCCGGAAUCAUUGGGCGUAAAGCGCGCGUAGGUGGCUUCGUAAGUCCGUUGUGAAAGUCAAAGGCUCAACCUUUGAAUGCCGAUGGAUACUGCGAAGCUAGAGUACGGAAGAGGCGAGUGGAAUUCCUGGUGUAGCGGUGGAAUGCGCAGGAUACUCAGGAGGAACCACCAAUAGCGAAGGCAGCUCGCUGG